rnacentral:rRNA from 1 species
AUACGUAGGGUGCAAGCGUUAAUCGGAAUUACUGGGCGUAAAGCGUGCGCAGGCGGUUUUGUAAGACAGGGGUGAAAUCCCCGGGCUAAACCUGGGAACUGCCAUUGUGACUGCAAGGCUGGAGUGCGGCAGAGGGGGGUGGAAUUCCGCGUGGAGGAGUGAAAUGCGUAGAUAUGCGGAGGAACACCGAUGGGGAAGGCAAUCCCCUGGGCCUGCACUGACGCUCAUGCACGAAAGCGUGGGGAGCAAACAGGAUUAGAUACCCUGGUAGUCCACGCCCUAAACGAUGUCAACUGGUUGUUGGGGAUUUAUUUUCUCAGUAACGAAGCUAACGCGUGAAGUUGACCGCCUGGGGAGUACGGCCGCAAGGUUAAAACUCAAAGGAAUUGACGGGG